rnacentral:rRNA from 1 species
GACGAGGGGUCCAAGCGUUGUUCGGAAUCAUUGGGCGUAAAGCGGGUGUAGGUGGCUCUAUAAGUCAGAAGUGAAAGCCCCGGGCUUAACCCGGGAAGUGCUUUUGAUACUGCAGAGCUUGAAUGUGGGAGAGGUGAGUGGAAUUCCCAGUGUAGCGGUGAAAUGCGUAGAUAUUGGGAGGAACACCAGUGGCGAAGGCGGCUCACUGGACCGGUUCUGACGCUGAAGCGCGAAAGCCAGGGGAGCAAACGGG